rnacentral:tRNA from 10 species
GCCCCGGUGCGUCUAACAGCUAGCAAGUGACUGUUAAUCAUUGGCUUCCUGGUUCGAGUCCAGGUCGUGGAGCCA